rnacentral:rRNA from 1 species
CAGUAGCCGCGGUAACACAGAGGGUGCGAGCGUUAAUCGGAUUUACUGGGCGUAAAGCGUGCGUAGGCGGCUUCUUAAGUCGGAUGUGAAAUCCCUGAGCUUAACUUAGGAAUUGCAUUCGAUACUGGGAAGCUAGAGUAUGGGAGAGGAUGGUAGAAUUCCAGGUGUAGCGGUGAAAUGCGUAGAGAUCUGGAGGAAUACCGAUGGCGAAGGCAGCCAUCUGGCCUAAUACUGACGCUGAGGUACGAAAGCAUGGGGAGCAAACAGGAUUAGAUACCCGUGUAGUCCCUGUCUCUUAUAU